AUUGAACGCUGGCGGCAGGCCUAACACAUGCAAGUCGAGCGGAUGAAGGGAGCUUGCUCCUGGAUUCAGCGGCGGACGGGUGAGUAAUGCCUAGGAAUCUGCCUGGUAGUGGGGGAUAACGUCCGGAAACGGGCGCUAAUACUGCAUACGUCCUGCGGGGGAAAGUGGGGGAUCUUCGGACCUCACGCUAUCAGAUGAGCCUAGGUCGGAUUAGCUAGUUGGUGGGGUAAAGGCCUUCCAAGGCGACGAUCCGUAACUGGUCUGAGAGGAUGAUCAGUCACACUGGAACUGAGACACGGUCCAGACUCCUACGGGAGGCAGCAGUGGGGAAUAUUGGACAAUGGGCGAAAGCCUGAUCCAGCCAUGCCGCGUGUGUGAAGAAGGUCUUCGGAUUGUAAAGCACUUUAAGUUGGGAGGAAGGGCAGUAAGUUAAUACCUUGCUGUUUUGACGUUACCAACAGAAUAAGCACCGGCUAACUUCGUG
rnacentral:rRNA from 1 species